GAGGACAGCCAAUCGCUGUUGAGAAACGAAUCACGUCACUGUCCUUGUCCUAAAAUGUUGUGGUCCAAUCUUUUAGGUAAAUUUAUUUCCUAAAAUGUUCGCUUGAAUGUGUCACCCAAAAUAUUCUACACGGCACAUUUAAAGGAGCAGCACUACAAAGGUUUGCUUCGAUUUGCCUCUCUAAAACCCCGGAUAUCAAACUUAUUUACCUUGUUAUGAAAUGCAAAUAGAAGAGGUGUGGUUUUUAUAAAAUAGGGAAAUUAUAUAGUGACAGUUGUACAGAUAAGGGAUGGGUAGGGCUUAGGUUGGGUGGUCCAAUCUUUUGAAACCUUCGACCCAAAGUUAUUCUGAAUGAAACGGCAUCAUAAUUAAUACACGCAAUACAUAAUAAAAGACCCAAUUUAAUUCUCAACGACUUUAAUUCUCAACGACUUACGUCGAACUGUAGCAGAGACACAUUGUUCGAGUUAAGAUGCGUUAAGAAUUCACUGACGACUGGAAUUUUGGGAAAAAUUACAUAAACAAAACUCGUCAGUAGCUCAUUGUAUUCAGAGAUCUACGUAAAUUCCGUCGGAUUAUUGACCAGAUAAAGAAUACGUGUUAAGAAUAUAAAAACACAUUGAGUUUAUUUGGAGAGAUUAAUAAUGUUUUAAACCUUGACGUGGCUGUAGGCGGCGCGUGUACUUGCAGCUGUCAACGUCACCUGGCGCUAUGACGUCAUACUCGGACCCAAAAUGGAGGAAAAACAACACACGGGAGCAAACGGAGCAGUUUUGUCUUUACUGUCCAGUGGAUUCAUGUGUCAAUAUCAUAUUACUCUUGAUGAAUUCCUCUUAGCCCAUAGAUUAUCAUAAUACUGCAGAUUGUUAGUCUCACUUUUACUACGCCUCAUGCUGUUAUCCCCACCAUGCAUGCAGUGGCGUCUUCAGGUCAAGGUGAAGACGAUGAGACGUAUGAAAUCAUUGAUCUGACAACAUAUGCAUGCAGUCAACAAUGGUGGAGCACAGUGUUUGGCAACAAUUCUGGCCCCAUUGCUGAGAAGUAUUCUGUUGGCACUCAGAUUGUGAUGGGUGGCGUCACAGGCUGGUGUGCCGGGUAUCUGUUUCAGCGGGUGGGAAAAGUUGCAGCUACAGCCAUAGGAGGAGGAUUUCUGUUGUUACAGGCAAGAACUAAAAACUAUCCAGUACAUUAAACAAGUUGCAUUGGAUUUGUGGUCUGAUUGUUUGAAGAUUUUUGCAGAUAGCCAAUCACAGCGGUUAUGUCCAAGUUAAUUGGAAAAAAGUGGAGAAAGAUGUUAAUAAAGCAAAGAGGCAUCUAAAGAAAAAAGCCAAUAAAGCAGCUCCUGAGAUCAGCACAUUUAUUGAGGAGGCUACAGAAUCUGUGAAGAAAAACCUUCUGAUAUCAAGUGGAUUUGUUGGUGGGUUCUUCCUGGGCCUUGCUUCUUGAGUUUGUGAAGCUGGUUUUAAGUGAUCUAUGAAAUAAUACUUUUCUCUGGUGCUAAAAUCUGUCUGGAGUUAAGAUACCUAUGCUUAUUAUGUAAGUUAAGUCACUUAGUAUUUGUGAGUUUGAUGUCAGAACGUGGAUGUAAAGGAGCUGUAUUAUACUCCAUUGACUGUAUACGUGUAUAUUCAAUACAGAGUCUGGGAUCUUUCUAGAAGUGAUGAUCAUUUGUCAAAGCACAGACAGCUAUGGAAAGGAAUCAAAUCUCUCAACUAACACUCAUCAGGUUUUGUUUCUUCCUGAACUUACAGUGUUACUCUCAUUGCUUUAAUUCUAUUUUGUAUAUUUUUGUAAAAUGUUAAAGUUAUUUGUUUCAACGGCGUUUUCAGUGUAUAAAGUUUUUGUGCUGUUGUAAAUUACUGUAAACAUUUACUUAGUUUGUAAAUAAAAUCAAUCAUGGUUUA